AGCAACUCACCGCCGGGGAGUAUGGAGCGUUGGAUAUCGUAUCGUUAGGCCAUAGAAGAUACGAGAUUCGGCGCUUUUUGUUA
rnacentral:ncRNA from 1 species